rnacentral:rRNA from 1 species
UACGUAGGGGGCGAGCGUUGUCCGGAGUUACUGGGCGUAAAGCGCACGCAGGCGGUCUGCUAAGUUUGGAGUGACAGUUGGUGGCUUAACUGCCAAAGUGCUUCGAAAACUGACAGACUUGAGGGCUUCAGAGGGACACGGAAUUCCGGGUGGAGUGGUGAAAUGCGUAGAGAUCCGGAGGAACACCGACGGCGAAGGCAGCGCCCUGGACGAGACCUGACGCUCAGGCACGAAAGCUGGGGGAGCAAACAGG